rnacentral:rRNA from 1 species
CCUACGGGCGGCAGCAGUGAGGAAUAUUGGUCAAUGGACGAGAGUCUGAACCAGCCAAGUAGCGUGAAGGAUGACUGCCCUAUGGGUUGUAAACUUCUUUUAUAUGGGAAUAAAAUGUUCCACGUGUGGGAUUUUGUAUGUACCAUAAGAAUAAGGAUCGGCUAACUCCGUGCCAGCAGCCGCGGUAAUACGGAGGAUCCGAGCGUUAUCCGGAUUUAUUGGGUUUAAAGGGAGCGUAGGUGGAUUGUUAAGUCAGUUGUGAAAGUUUGCGGCUCAACCGUAAAAUUGCAGUUGAAACUGGCAGUCUUGAGUACAGUAGAGGUGGGCGGAAUUCGUGGUGUAGCGGUGAAAUGCUUAGAUAUCACGAAGAACUCCGAUUGCGAAGGCAGUUCACUGGACUGCAACUGACACUGAGGCUCGAAAGUGUGGGUAUCAAACAGGAUUAGAUACCCCAGUAGUC